GUGAAUCAUCGAAUCUUUGAACGCACCUUGCGCUCCUUGGUAUUCCGAGGAGCAUGCCUGUUUGAGUGUCAUUAAAUUAUCAAACAUUGUUAGCUUUUUGCUGAUAAUGGAUUGGACUUGGGGGUCUUUUGCUGGCUUAUAAGAGUCAGCUCCCCUUAAAUGUAUUAGCUUGUUCCCCGCGUGGACUUGUCUAUUGGUGUGAUAAUUAUCUACACCGUGGAUGUCUGCUUUAAAAGGGUUGAGCUGCUUCUAAUCGUCUGUUGACUCGGACAAUACAAAUGACAAUUUGACCUCAAAUCA
rnacentral:misc_RNA from 1 species